UACGGGGGGGGCAAGCGUUGUUCGGAAUUACUGGGCGUAAAGGGCUUGUAGGUGGCCAACUAAGUCAGACGUGAAAUCCCUCGGCUUAACCGGGGAACUGCGUCUGAUACUGGAUGGCUAGAGUGUGGGAGAGGGAUGCGGAAUUCCAGGUGUAGCGGUGAAAUGCGUAGAUAUCUGGAGGAACACCGGUGGCGAAGGCGGCAUCCUGGACCACGACUGACACUGAAAAGCGAAAGCCAGGGGAGCAAACGGG
rnacentral:rRNA from 1 species